GACGGAGGAUGCAAGUGUUAUCCGGAAUCACUGGGCGUAAAGCGUCUGUAGGUUGUUUAAAAAGUCUGCAGUUAAAGGUUGAAGCUUAACUUCAAAAAUGCCGUAGAAACUUUUAAACUAGAGGAUGGUAGGGGCAGAGGGAAUUUCCGGUGGAGCGGUGAAAGUGCGUAGAGAUCGGAAAGAACACCAACGGCGAAAGCACUCUGCUGGGCCGACACUGACACUGAGAGACGAAAGCUAGGGGAGCGAAUGGG
rnacentral:rRNA from 1 species